rnacentral:piRNA from 1 species
GUAAGAUGGCCGUCACGUGAAACCGAG